UCAUUUGUCCGCUAAAUAUUUGGUGAAAAAAUGAAGCGGCUAACCAAAUUUAUUCUCCCUCACUCCAUUGUUUCACUUGUCAUGUUUUUUUUUUCUCACAAUCUAGAUCUGUCCAUCUUCUCAAGCUCUUUUCUCACUCGUUUACUUUUUUUUUGGUAAUUCACCAAAUUUAGAACCAGGCUUCUCCUCCGAUUAAAUCCUUUACCCAGAUUUAAAACCAGAUAGAUCAUCUUCUUCUUCUUCUCCAUAUAACGAAACCCUAGUUACGCCUUUUCAGUAGAUACAGAUCUUUAUCUUGUCUUUCUCUCCCUUUCACUCUUUCUCUUAAAAUCGAUCCCUAGCCACUUGUGAAGCAAAAGAGAUAGGGAUUUGAAACCCUAGCCACCAUCGCACAUAUCUCUCUUCGUAUCUGCUAGAUCUGUUCGUUUUCUUCCAUCUGUAUUGUGAAACCCGAGAUCUAGAGAUAUCCGUACAAGUCUCGUUUCUUUAAGAAAAGCAUUGUGGGAUUGAUUUCAAGAAGAGCAUUGAGAAAGGACCGUAAGUGAAACGUUUCAAGAUGAAGAUUUUAAUCUGAA